GGCCUCCAUCUUGAAAACGGAAAAUAAAAACAGCAGACCUAUGAAGGUCGAAGGGGAAGAAAAGCUGUAUCGAUUGUUGAGAUCUGGCGACUUGUUUAAAUUUCAUCAGCCUCACUUCUAUGAACUCUCAGAGCUGAUUACCAACUCCUACCACUGUUAACCCUCAUCCAGGAACAAGCUUAUGUCUUUAACAUUCUGAGUGGGCUUCAGCAUCCUUGCAUAUGUUCAAUUCUUAAAAACCUGUUGAAAUAAAAGAUCAGGAGACAUAGGAAGGAUGCCAGAAGAGAGCGUGGCCUCACGUGUACCAGCUCUCUGCUCUCCUUUGCCUUGGGACGUUCCAUCCCUGGAAGUUUCCCUGCCCACAUCUUUGUAGAGAGUCCAUUCUCCAAGCUUCAGUGUGUCAUCUGUGAGGACCGUGACCCACCUGGUACAUCGCCUCAGGGCAUUCAUUUCAGGCUCCUUCUAAAUGGCCAAGUUUUCAAGAUUGUUUUGGCUCUAGCAAAACAAGUUGGAACAUUCACAUCAUCCAGUAAACCUCAGGUUCUCCUCCUGCCUUUUGCUAAGUAUAUGUCUUGAUGACAAGCCUUCUGCUGAUGAGCUGUGUUUCUGGACCGAUCAUGGUAGAAGUCAAUUAACGUGUCCCUCACUUGGGGUUUCUCAAGGCUGCACUGAUGAGGAAACUGAAACAGAAAAUCCAGAGUAAAUUCCACCAGGCCACACAGCAAGGUCUGAUAGAGCCAGGAGAGACUUUAUGAAAUCCAGACUCUCACACUAAUGCUCUAUCAGCUAGACCUCCAUGUGAGUCUCCCCAAUGUAGGUAGGAAGUGCUUUCCCUAAAAUGCUCAUAAAGCAAAUCAGAGCAAUGCUGCAUUCCAUGUGAUUUCUAAUUUGAAAUGCAAACAAUUGCCAAUUUGUUUGACUUGUAUUUAUAAUUAUUUCCUUGUGAAUUACUCAUCACUAAAUGCUUUAUAAAUAUUUUCUCUUUUUUUCCUCAAUGUCUAUGGAAUGAUCACAGCAUAGAAAAUGUUGGCUUUCAAGGAUUUAUUAAUAUCUCCUUUUGAAAUAACAUGUAUUUGUAAGACAGAAUAAAAUCACUUUAAAGAAACAAA
ensembl:lncRNA TEX41 testis expressed 41